rnacentral:rRNA from 1 species
UACGUAGGGGGCGAGCGUUGUCCGGAAUUAUUGGGCGUAAAGAGCGUGUAGGCGGUCUGGUAAGUCUGUCGUGAAAGGCUGGGGCUCAACCCUGGACGUGCGAUGUAUACUGCCAGACUAGAGGAUGGUAGAGGCGAGUGGAAUUCCCAGUGUAGCGGUUAAAUGCGCAGAUAUUGGGAGGAACACCAGUAGCGAAGGCGGCUCGCUGGACCAUUCCUGACGCUGAGACGCGAAAGCGUAGGGAGCAAACAGG